CCCGGACGGUGACGUAGCGGGGCUUUGUGAAUCCCAGGCUGAAGUUUGGUUGAGUCACAGGAGGGGCGCAGGAGCCACCGCAAAGGAACGGCAACACGUUGUACCAGGGACAAAGGGACAUCGGCACUGAAGCCAGGAGAUGAAGCCUAUUCUCCACAGGGGACAGCCACACUGUGGCUGUGACAGCGCUGGGACAACUCACCUCUCGGCAGCCCGCAGGAGGUAACCGUGGAGGACCUGCUGGGAGACAAGGGGUCCUGCUCUCUGGGCAGCACCGAGUCAGGGCAACGCUGCAGGCGAGCAGUUGUGGACCGUGCAGAACUGUGACGACACGAACCGCAGGACACAGGCUGGGGAGUUGGAACCCUGCUAAGGCCCUUGGCACAGCCUUCCCAGGGAAUGCAAAGGAAGUUCAGCACAAAGGUUAGUGGCAGAAUGAGCAUGUUUCCUCUUGUUUUGAGAGCAAGGGGAGCGGGGAGAAAAAAAGAAGGAAAAAAAAAAAAGAAAACAUUACAGCUACAAGCCAGGCAGAUACUGAAUGUGUAAAACCAAGGGGACAGAUGGCUCAAAAGGGAUCUCAUUUCCCUGGUUUUCCUGCUGUAAAAAUAAAUCACUACUGAAAAAUAUUCAUGCCGUAUCACAUAGUUAAGCCUUAUAAUAAAUCUUUAGCUCUUAUUCCUCAAAUCCUUCCUUACUCAGUAAAUCUGCUGAAGUCACCAGGAUUCCUCAGGUGAGAAAUGAUGUACAAGAAUGGAACAUUUAUUAGAUACC